rnacentral:lncRNA from 1 species
UUUUUUUUUUUUUUUUUGUUUUUUUAGGGCCACACCCACAGCAUAUGGAGGUUCCCAGGCUAGGGAUCCAAUCGGAGCUAUAGCCACCAGCCUACGCCAGAGCCACAGCAACGCCAGAUCCGAGCCGAGUCUUCGACCUACACCACAGCUCAUGACAACGCCAGAUCCUUAAAUCCUGAACGAGGCCGGGGAUUGAACCCACCCUCUCAUGGUUCCUAGUCGGAUUCCUCUCCACUGCACCACGAUGGGAACUCCACACUCGUUAUUUCUUAUCUUUUUGAUAAGAGCCAUUCUAAGAGGUGGGAGGGGACAUUUCACUGUGGUUUGGAACUGCAUUUCCCUGAUGAUUAGUAAUGUAGGGCAUAUUUUCAUGUGCUUGUUGGCCUUCCAUGGGUCUUUUUUCGAAAAAUGCCAGUUUGGGUCCUCUGCCCAUUUUUUAAUCAGGUUGUUGAGUUGUGCAAAAUAGAAUAUUCCAACAACUCACACACACACAAACACACACAACAAAUGUGUUUUAAUAAUAGCACUACUGAGCCUUUUCUUCCUUCUGCCCAUAUUUUCUUUUCUUCCUUCAUUUUAAUUGAAGUAUAGUUGACUUACAAUAUUAUAUUAGUUUCAGAUACACAGCAUAGAAAUUCAAUUAUUAUAGACUAUACUCUACACAAAGUUACUGACUAUAUUGUCUGUGCUGUACACCUGUGUGUCUUCAUUCAUUUUAUAACCAGUAGUUUGUACCUCUUAAUGUGCAUCAACAAAUGAAUGGCUGAAGAAUAUACGGUAAAAAUAUGAUGUAAUUUUACUGAGCCAUGAAAAAGAAUGAAAUCUUCCACGUGCCACAACACAGAUGGACACAGAAGGUAUUUAUACUUAGAUAAGUCAAAGAAGAACAAGUACUCUUGUGUUUCCACCUAAAUGAGGAAUUUUUUUUUUUUUUUGUCUUUUUGCUAUUUCUUGGGCCGCGCCCACAGCACAUGGAAGUUCCCAGGAUUUCUUCUAAAAUCCAGCGGAGUUCUACGUACUGGAAGUUACAAGGAAAAUCACUAUAUGAUGAUCUUAGAAGAGACGACUUCUCCCAAGUCCUCUCAAAUCUCACCAACAAUUCUCCCCCCCCCCACCGGUCCUGCUCCUGCUCCAAUACUAGCAAUAUUUUUGCUCAAGGUUAAUUCUUACAAACCCAAACUCCCACAUACUAAUAUGAAAUGGCGCAGGAGCCACAUUCAUGGAGCUAAGAAGGCACUGCCACUCAGACCUGCCUGAAAUGAGCAGGGAAAUGAUUGAUUCCACUGGGGAUGAUCCUGAGAGAGUCUCAGGAAGUGGAACACAGCCUGGCCCCUGCACGUCCUAUGGAUGGAGGUUCUCAUUUGUGCCGCUGGGUCCAUGUGAACACAACCCGAGCCGACCCUACCCUUGAGUCAAACAAAUGAUGGGGAUGCCUCCACGUCCAUCAGAACCCCACUUGCCACCACACUUCUAAACAAGUCUCCUUGUUUCCCUCGCUUGUUCUCUUUUCCUCUUGUCUCCCUUCUGCCUCUCUUUCCUGUUUGGAGCUGUGCCUGUAACACACUUGAAAAAGGGCGCUCCCUCUGCAUCUGAACGGACUCUUUCCAUUUCGCACACAGUGAGAUGAGAAAAAUCCAGAGGAUUUUUGCCAGGUUCUGUUGCCAGGGCAGACAAGCAGAGCUGGUGACAAGCUUUAGCUGUAAUUAGGAAUUAUUUUGCCUUUAUGGCUGGCUGGUUCACCCCUGGGAGAGGCUUUUCCCUACUUUCUGGUUUGACAGCUCACACUCCUAAAAGAAGCAGGAGGUGAUGGCGUCAGAGGACCUGAGUUAAAAUCCUAUCUCUAAAAAGUUUGUGAUUGAGUUCACACAGACGUUUAUGAAAUGCCUAUUAAAAAAAAAAAAAAAAGGCAGGCUUUGGUGUUUGAAAGAUGGAAGACAUCAUCCCUGCUUUGAAGAAGCCUGCAGCCCCGCAGGAGUGUAACAAACUCGGUAUAAUGUAGUCAGUGAAAGAAGGAGGGUGGACGAGGGUCCAGGCGGUGGCAGGACCCAGCUGGGAGAUCCCAGGCUUCUCCUCCAGGGUAGGGGCACCAAGCUGUCUGCCCUUCUAGAGGACCCUGGGAUCCAGAAAAGGCACUUUCCUCAAAGAAGGGGCACCCAGCUCCUGCAGGAAAAUUCAGAAACCAGCUGUUGAAAGAGGUAACCCUGGAACUACGUCGUGAAGGGGGGUGAGGGCACAAGCGUGGCUUUCCAAGCAGCAGAAACAGCCCAGACCUAGACCCUAACACCUGCACGCCCCCCUCGUUCAGGUACAUCACACGUGCACAUCAGCUCUGCAUCAUUCAACGCCAUGAGCCCCUGAUCCAUAAAAUGAGAAUAGUCACUCUUGCCUAGCUACAUCAGGAGUUCUCGCUCGGAUUAAAGAAAGAACAUCAAGGGACGAUGGAACCUGGGAAGUCCCAUUAUCACCAUUAGGCAAGUGUGGUGCCGGACUCCAUCAAGAUGCGACUCCAUGAUAACUGUGCUGUGUGGCAGCCCUGCCCUGGCUUUGCCUCUAAUCCACCAUCUGUCCUCUGCCAUCCCCCUCCCCCCGGGGCCCCACAGGCCUCCACUGUCCUCAUCUGUAAAAUGGGUGACUUGGAUCAAGGAACACUUUAGUCCCUUCCCGAGGCUGCCAUUUUAUCCCUGAGUCCCC